CAGUAGCCGCGGGAAUACAGAGGGUGCGAGCGUUAAUCGGAUUUACUGGGCGUAAAGCGUGCGUAGGCGGCUUUUUAAGUCGGAUGUGAAAUCCCUGAGCUUAACUUAGGAAUUGCAUUCGAUACUGGGAAGCUAGAGUAUGGGAGAGGAUGGUAGAAUUCCAGGUGUAGCGGUGAAAUGCGUAGAGAUCUGGAGGAAUACCGAUGGCGAAGGCAGCCAUCUGGCCUAAUACUGACGCUGAGGUACGAAAGCAUGGGGAGCGAACAGGAUUAGAUACCCCGGUAGUCCCUGUCUCUUAUAC
rnacentral:rRNA from 1 species